ACAAUGCAGACAUUCAAGGAAUGUUAAGGACAGUAUGUUAUGGCGUGCUACAUUUUUCCCAUCAUAAACUAUUGAUUUCCCUCGUGCUAACCUAAGGACCUUGUGCUGUUCCUCAAAUAUUUCCAAAUCAACUUGAAUUGCAGAAAUGUUCUAUAUAUAUCUUUACACAUGGUACGCAGCCUAGAAAUUCAAAAUAUUCAUACAUUUGGAAAUAUUUAAGCAACGACACAAGGGUCUGUGGUGCUAAUGUGAAGCUGACUUGGACAGUUAAAGGAAUGCAGUAUCUAUAUAUAUUAGUCUGUUACAACUUGAUAAAUGAUGGAUAUGAAAUAAAAGAAUUUUCACUUCAUUAGUAAUACACCAUGUUACUAAUAGUGAAAAUGUAUUGUGUGAAA